CCCGACAACCCACACAAACGCCACAGAAUUUAUUUUACAAGCCAUUUAUUUAACCCUAAACUUUACAAGACACCAUGGAACCAUUGAUUCAAUGCAUCUCUAUGAGGAGAUGCUGAUUGGCAUAGCAUUUUGCAAUUUAUGCACAAUAGCCUCCCAAUGCUUUUCUAUGGAGAUUAUUGGAUGGCUUAAUUUCAUCAAUUUUGAUGAUCUCAGCCAAGGAGACAGUGCCAGCCGUGACAGGGGGCUAAAGUG